rnacentral:rRNA from 1 species
UACGAAGGGUGCAAGCGUUACUCGGAAUUACUGGGCGUAAAGCGUGCGUAGGUGGUUUUUUAAGUCCGUUGUGAAAGCCCUGGGCUCAACCUGGGAAUGGCAGUGGAUACUGGAAAGCGUAGAGUGCGGUAGAGGGUAGUGGAAUUCCCGGUGUAGCAGUGAAAUGCGUAGAGAUCGGGAGGAACACCAGUGGCGAAGGCGGCUACCUGGACCAGCACUGACACUGAGGCACGGAAAGCGUGGGGAGCAAACAGGAUUAGAAACCCAUGGUAACGUCC